CCUUAGGUCUUUGAGUUAGGAGUGCCCUUCAGGUAUGCUAAAGCAUUUAGGGUAAAAUGUCAAUUGUGUAUGGCUUUCCAAAGAUUUGGCAAAAUAAAUCUAUAUAUAGAAGAGAUAAACUUUAUAUAUAUGUAUGUAUUAUUGAGAUACAUAAUAUACACAGAUAUGAGAUAAAGCAAGUGUGGCUAACUAUCAAUGGUGAAUCUAGAAGAAGAUCACAUUACUGAGGUUUGAAAUUUUUCAAA